GCUGAUGUUGAAAUUUCAAGAAAUGUUUCCGAUCUGGGCUGUGUAUCUUAGGCAGAAUUGAAGAUGUAAAUGAAGCCUAGGUCCACCAAGGAGGGAACGAUGGUCAAAGCCUAAACGGGACGGUAACUAGUAAGAGAGAGAAUUCAGCUGGAAGCACAAAUUAACCUGAAACGCAGUGGAAAGCAAGCAGAGGCGCUGGAUGCUCUUCGUGGGGCCAAACAAAUACUUGAGGAUUAAAGGCAGAAAAUUUUGUAUAAAUUUACGGGGAUUUGCCAAUUCUGCUUCAAUUGGUUGAGGAUCAAUGUAAAACUAAAUAAUUUUUAUUCAACCAAGAUAUUCUGUGAA